GACGAACGCUGGCGGCGUGCUUAACACAUGCAAGUCGAACGGAAAGGCCCUGCUUUUGUGGGGUGCUCGAGUGGCGAACGGGUGAGUAACACGUGAGUAACCUGCCCUUGACUUUGGGAUAAUUUCAGGAAACUGGGGCUAAUACCGGAUAGGAGCUCCUGCUGCAUGGUGGGGGUUGGAAAGUUUCGGCGGUUGGGGAUGGACUCGCGGCUUAUCCGCUUGUUGGUGGGGUAGUGGCUUACCAAGGCUUUGACGGGUAGUCGGCCUGGGAGGGUGAACAGCCCCACUGGGAUCGAGCGUCAGCCAAGGUGCCUAUGGGAAAAACGAUAAGGGAAUCUUCCGCAAUAGGCGGUAGCCUGGUGCUCCAAAGCCGCGGAAGAGCAAAGCGCCUUCGGGAUGUCAACGGGGUUCGCCCGAGAAGUAGUGUGCACUCAGGUUAUGGGUCAAGCAGCUCCGGGUAACUACGUG
rnacentral:rRNA from 1 species